CUAUUUAGGCAUGUUUUCAAGCCAAAGCGCAUGCCCAGAAGACUAAGUGCACGCGUGGACGUGUGCACUCACAUUUGUGAAACGGGGUGUCAAACUUGCGUCAUCAUGGCAGUGUUACGUGACAUAUCUCAACUUUCCCCCCCUUCGCUAAAAAGGGCGUGGCCUGACCAGCGCAUGAUGCAUCCAGCUUGUGGGCCGUGAGUUUGACAGCCCUAAAUGGUCUAAAUGGUGCCUUCUUGGUGCCUUCCUUUGGAACAACUUCUCUAGCCCUCCUCUUCUCCUGGCAUAAGGAUACCUGAUUCCAUAUUAAGUUUUCCAAGAACACAGAAUGCUUGGUUCUUUCAGAGGUCUUUGGAAGAGAUGGAAGGAUGAAACUACCUUUGAAGAGACUGGGACGGCCUUGGAGAAAGGAGCUGAAUCAGCACAAAACUGUACCACCCAGCCCCAGAGCUGUAGCCAGCCUAAAAGGAUACAAUGGUCGAUAUUAUUGAAGGCUGCUGAAAGGUCAAGGAGUUCAAGGAUGGUUGCACUACCCCUGUCCUGCUCUUGUUGGAGAUCAUCCACAAGUGCAACCAAUGCUGUUUCUGUUCUAUAACCAGAUCUGAAUCCUGACUGAAAGGGCUCCAAAUAAUCUAUUUCCAUCCAGGAGCUUCUGGAGUUACCAAACAGCCAUCUUUUCUACCACCUUCCCUAAAAGGGGAAGAUGGAAAACUGGAUGAAAACUAUCCAGAUAAGUGGGAUCAAGUGAUGUUUUUUUUUUCAGGAGGGACAAACCAGGGAACUCCUUAAAAGACUCCAGGAAUAUCUACUCUUGUAGUGAAGAAUUUAUGAUCAUCACCAUCCUGGAGGCUUUCACCUUGUCCAGGACAGACAAGGAUCUAAUUUGCAGGUGGUUGCACUGACACCAUUGAGGAUCCCGUGUCUACUUCCUCAGGUCCAACAGGAUCGAACUAUUCCCAUAUAACCGAGUAAGACAAUUUCUUCCUCAUUCCUAGUAUUUUGUUAAUAGUGCAACCCUAACCCCGAUUGUGGUUAUGGAGAUUCUAAUCACAAAAAGUCUGUCUCCUGGGAGGUCCCACCCUUAUCGAGCUUCACUGACUACCUUCACAGGGAUAACGAGAACAGAAACUAUAGCUUUCUAUAACACAAAAUUAAGAGCUGUUCAAUAACAAUGCUAGAAAUAGCACGGACUUAUAUACGACUUCAUAGUACUUUACAGUCCUCUUUAAGCAGUUUGCAGGGUCAACGUAUUGUCCCCAACAAUCUGGAUCUU